CGCAGAGUAGAGCAGUUGGCAGCUCGUCGGGCUCAUAACCCGGAGGUCCCAGGUUCGAGUCCUGGCUCUGCUA
rnacentral:tRNA from 2 species